rnacentral:rRNA from 1 species
ACGGAGGGUGCAAGCGUUAUUCGGAAUUACUGGGCUUAAAGCGCGUGCAGGCGGAAAAGCAAGUCUGAGGUGAAAGCCCGCGGCUUAACCGUGGAAUUGCCAUUGAUACUGUCUUUCUUGAGUAUGGUAGAGGCAGGGGGAAUGUGCAGUGUAGCGGUGAAAUUCGUAGAUAUCACGCGGAACACCAGUGGCGAAGGCGCCUUGCUGGACCGUAACUGACGCUGAUGCGCGAAAGCGUGGGGAUCAAACAG